GUUUUUUAUAAGUUUCCAAUACAUGGAGUUCUUCAAUGUGCGGACAGAGAAUUUGAAGCUAUUCUAUUUAUAGGUUAACAAGCUUUGGAACAUGCUCAGUACUAUCAGCUGAAUGACUCACUCGAUGCCAGAUCUUCAUGUUCUGAAGGACGAUCACCAUGAAACGUCAGGGCGUUGUUCUGGACAGUUACCGGAUUCGGACAACACCCGAAUAGUGUGUGUAAGCUGCCCACGUAUCCGGAUCCUGCUCUCGAUUGUCAGUUAUACCACCUCAAUGGCCUUUCAGAAAAAUGAUUGGAUUUGGCGAUUGGGACCCCUAAAAACCCCAGUCGCCCUUUAAAUGGGGGAGUAUAUAAGGUAUUUCUCCUGCUUUCCUAGCGUGCCUUCGUGGUGUAGUGGUCAGCUCAAUGAGCCGGUAUUU